rnacentral:lncRNA from 1 species
GUCUAGGGUUUCUGAAUCACCCUUGCGCUGUACACCCUCCAUGUGCGCCCUCGGCGGGAGCUCCGCUCGAAGGACGGCUCCCCUGACAUCGCUUGCACCAAAAUGGCAAGCUUCUUCCCCGUUGACCCCCUAGACCUGCAAAACAGAAGCAAAAAGAGAGCAAAGCAGCAGAGGCAAAACGAAAUAGUAACAAACAGUAAACAAAAGCCAUUGUAUUCAGCUAUAAAGAGGCCUAAAACAAACAAUGUAGUUUUUUACGCAUACAAUAAAUCAAAAAACUUUGAAAGAGAUCGGAUUCAAACCCUAAAGGUUAUUCCUUUUCUUUGUUUUUCUAUUUUUCAUUUUCGUUCCAUUUUAAAACAGUAAUAAUAAUAAUAAUAAUAAUAUUAGAAAUCAUACCUGUUGAUUCACAUCCCCGCGUCGAACGCUGCCGAUAUUCGAACACCUAAGAACUCACGGGGUUCUGUCGAGGGUUCAAAAGGCGGUGGAGGCCACCGUGCUCUUGCAUGCUAUUUCUCAUCUAUUUUCUCAACCAAAACAUUUUUUAAAAGUAUUUUUUGGGGUCUUUUAAAAGAAAAAAAAGGGGAAUAGAAGGAGAUUAAAAGACCCGAUUUUGGGCACCUCCAGCCGCCGCGUAUGGCGGAGCCACGGCUGGUGUGCACCGGUGCUUGGCCAGGUUCUGGGUUGAAACCCAGAGAGAAAAACCCCCUCAUUUCCCUUCCUUUUUUUCUAAAUUAUGGAGAGAAUGAAAAUUAAAAAAAAAAUCUUGCUUUUAUAGAUUGGUUAAAUGACGUUGUAUAAGGCCUAGACCAAUGGCCAUAAAACGGCGCCAUUUAGGCAGCAUUGCCCGACCCGACCCGUGAACUGCCUAGGAUCCGCGCAUUCUCGGACUGAGGGUAUAUUUGCACCCUCAGUCCUUCUUCUUUUGAGGCUUAGUUCAAUAGGGUCCUAUCUUGCUUUUUCUUAUUUCUAAUUUUACCCCUGAAAUUUUAUUUACUAUUUCGUUCUGAUCCCUAAUGAAAUUGCGCAUUUUGGGGAGUGGGUUUAUUACCCACCUGGUCCCCCAUUUCAUCCGCACGUCACAAUUUGGGCCUAACACUUUAUUUUAAUUCUGUUUGAUUUCGAUUUACCCCUUUUUCUUAUUUUCGUUCAUGAUUUUAUCCCAAAUCUCUUUUCUUGUUUUCGUUCAUGAUUUUAUCCCAAAUCUCUAAUUGAAUUUUUGAUUAAGUCCUUUUUGUUUGUUUAUUUAUUCGUUCAUCUAUUUAUUGGUUUAUAUAUAUCCAUUGUUCAUUUAUUUAUUAAUGUACAUUACUAGUUUAUGUUAUUGGAAUCAUUUCAUAAUUCCUUUAUUUCUUUCCGAUUUUCGAUUACCUUCGUUAUUAUUAUUUUAUUAUCUAUUAUUGUUCUAUUAUUUAUUCAUUCAUCAUUCAUUCAUUUUUUUAAUCAUUUUAUUUCAUAAAUUACUCAUUCUAUUUAUAUUUUCAUUAUUAUUGAUGUUGGAUUUUUUAUUUUAUUAAUGUUAUGAUGAUUAUACUAUUAAACUAAUUUAGUUAAUGUUUAAUAUCUAUUUGUUUGUUUAUUCAUUUAUUCAUUAUUAUUUUUAUAGAUUGGAUUUAUUUUUAUUCCUACCCUCG